rnacentral:rRNA from 1 species
AAUCAACGCUGGCGGCGUGCCUCAGACAUGCAAGUCGAACGAUUAAAGCUCUCUUCGGAGAGUGCAUAGAGUGGCGCACGGGUGAGUAACACGUAAGUAAUCUACCUUCGAGUGGGGAAUACCGUCCGGAAACGGACGCUAAUACCGCAUAAUGCAGCGGCAUCGCAAGAUGACAGUUGUUAAAGAUUUAUCGCUUGAAGAGGGAG